AUGGCGCUGCCCCUGAUCUCCUGCCCCAGCUGCAAGGAGAAGGUGCAGAUGUAUGUAUCGACCACUGAGAAGCACGACGGGUGGGUCUUCUACAGAUGCCGCAGCCAUGGGGUUUCUUGUGAUUUCUGGCGUUGGGAGUUGGAGUAUGUUGAGUAUCUUGUUGACAAACAUUACCUCGUCGAAGAUGCCGCCGUGGAUGCUAUUGGUGAGGUGGAGGAACGAAGGGAGCAUCUGAUUGCUGCACAGGAACUGGUGCAGAUGAAUGCACCCAUCAGCAGGUCCAACCAGGCUGCAAAGAAGGAAGCAAGUUGUGGGAUGAGCAGGCAGCAAGCAAUUGCACUGAUGAUGUUAGGGAGGGAGGUGAUGAAGCUGAUGAAGAUGUUGUUUGUUGCAGUGGUGGUGCUAGGUGCUGUUGCUGUUGGGUUGAUGCUGAAGAAGUGA
rnacentral:rRNA from 1 species